GUGCUUGUUUCUCUAGCACAUAUACUAAAUUAGAACAAUACCAACAGGAUUAGGAUGGCCCCUGUGCAAAGACAACAAGCAAAUUCGUGAAGCAUUCCACAUUUUU
ensembl:snRNA U6 U6 spliceosomal RNA